UCUUCUCAACAGCCCGCACGUAGCCUAACUGAGGCAGCAGCGUUGCUCAACACUAUAUUGGCCUCAGCGGAGACCAUUAGAACGCUGUCAAGUGCAACCACAAUGGUGCAGCAACCGACCGUUCCAACUCGAGGUGAGGACACCGUGGACGGUCACCUAGCAUCGCUCUUCCCAUCCCGCAGCGGGCAGCGGCCAGCUACAGCUCCUCUUAGGAGAGAUUGUGCACCACGUUAUCAAGCACAACAUUGCUUUGGCACAUGGACAUCUGGCACGAGGAAAACAAGAGCUAGGGCACAGCAGCAUGGCCAUUUCAAUAAGGACGUGAUACUACUCCCCAAUCCAUCAUUGGAUGUAGUGUGCAAACAACGUCCAAAGGUACGGUUACACAAACAUGGACAUAUCCUCAGUGCCUUUGAGUUCCAGAAGGCCUGGGACCACCGGACUGUUAUUGAUCGUAUCAGACAAGGCUUUGGUGAGCAUAUUCCGGAGGACGUCAGCCUCCAGCUUGUAAUGUCUUGUGGCAAUAAGUUGGUGUCCCCUAAGAUCCAGGAGGGUCAGGAGCUGAAUGGGAUGCUAAUCCACAAG